rnacentral:misc_RNA from 1 species
GAUGAAGAACGUAGCGAAAUGCGAUACGUAAUGUGAAUUGCAGAAUUCAGUGAAUCAUCGAGUCUUUGAACGCACAUUGCGCCCCCUGGUAUUCCGGGGGGCAUGCCUGUCCGAGCGUCAUUGCUGCCCUCAAGCACGGCUUGUGUGUUGGGCCUCCGUCCUCCUCCCGGGGGACGGGCCCGAAAGGCAGCGGCGGCACCGCGUCCGGUCCUCGAGCGUAUGGGGCUUCGUCACCCGCUCUUGUAGGCCCGGCCGGCGCUUGCCGACACAUCAAUCUUUUUUCCAGGUUGACCUCGGAUCAGGUGGGACUACCCGCUGAACUUAAGCAUAUCAAUAAGCGGAGGA